CUUCAGGUACGUUAAUGCCGUUUUGAGAACUAUUUCGAAUUUCUAAUGAUAUCUUUGGUUAGAGCCAUCCACAGCAAGGAGAUCCCUAACUUGCUCAUUAUAAAUUUCAAGCAUCUGAACGGAAAUUUCAUAGCGAAUGGUGUCCUUUCUCAGUUCUGAUAAUUGAAAUAGAUCACCCAAUGCUCUGUAAUUUACACCUCGGCUUUCUUCCUAUAAGUUUUUCCUGAUCCGGUUUGUCCAUAAGCAAAUAUACAGACAUUGUACCCAUCAAGAACUGACCGAAUGAGAGGCUGCGUAUCUGAAAAUACCUCCUCUGCGUGGAAAGAAAAGUGAUGGUGAAUACGCUGACAAGUAUGAUUGAGAGUGAACCUACUUUGAGACUAGCUAGCUAACCUUGGGUUGAUAAUGGCCCAAAUACUUUGUUGAAACUGAAAGAUUUCCGCCCCUCUUU
rnacentral:lncRNA from 1 species